GAUGAACGCUGGCGGCGUGCCUAAUACAUGCAAGUCGAGCGAACGGACGAGAAGCUUGCUUCUCUGACGUUAGCGGCGGACGGGUGAGUAACACGUGGAUAACCUACCUAUAAGACUGGGAUAACUUCGGGAAACCGGAGCUAAUACCGGAUAAUAUUUUGAACCGCAUGGUUCAAAAGUGAAAGACGGUUUUGCUGUCACUUAUAGAUGGAUCCGCGCUGCAUUAGCUAGUUGGUAAGGUAACGGCUUACCAAGGCAACGAUGCAUAGCCGACCUGAGAGGGUGAUCGGCCACACUGGAACUGAGACACGGUCCAGACUCCUACGGGAGGCAGCAGUAGGGAAUCUUCCGCAAUGGGCGAAAGCCUGACGGAGCAACGCCGCGUGAGUGAUGAAGGUCUUCGGAUCGUAAAACUCUGUUAUUAGGGAAGAACAAAUGUGUAAGUAACUAUGCACAUCUUGACGGUACCUAAUCAGAAAGCCACGGCUAACUACGUG
rnacentral:rRNA from 1 species